GCAUGAUUUUGUGUAAGGAAAUUUUCAGGACUCUUCUCUAGGAGCUUGAAGAGGUAGAAAACAAAUAUAUAUACUCCCACUUUUAGGGCAUUUUCAGGCAUACUCCAUGAUUUUUGGAGAUAGAAAGUACACAUUAUGUAUAAAAACAUGACUUUUGAAGGGAGAAAUAUAUUGUCUGCUGAAUGUGACAUGUUAAAUAGAAAACUAAGAUUCUAAUAUA
rnacentral:lncRNA from 1 species